rnacentral:rRNA from 1 species
UACGGGGGGGGCAAGCGUUGUUCGGAAUUACUGGGCGUAAAGGGCUCGUAGGUGGCCAACUAAGUCGGACGUGAAAUCCCUCGGCUUAACCGGGGAACUGCGUCCGAUACUGGUUGGCUUGAGUUUGGGAGAGGGAUGCGGAAUUCCUGGUGUAGCGGUGAAAUGCGCAGAUAUCAGGAGGAACACCAGUGGCGAAAGCGGCUCUCUGGGGGCAACCUGACGCUGAGGCGCGAAAGCGUGGGGAGCGAACCGG